UGCAAGCAUGUUUCGUGCCACGGCUCCUCUCAGCAUGAGAUAUAUUGGCAUUGCGAUUGACGUGCUGAAGAACGAGUCUGGGCCCGGCUAUAGCAAUACUGUGGAGGCUGCCGGCAAGGCUAUUGAGCAGAGAGUGAGCACGCCGCUGGGCAGAUUUUGGUACUUUGGCUAAUUGGACGUUUCGCUUAGGUACCUGCUAUCACUCAGGCAAAAAUACAGUAUGUUCCGUGAAGAAGAAGAAAAAGAGAGAAAGAAAAGAAAGGAGAAUAAAGAAACCCCCAAUUUGGAAUUCGAUUUCUCACUCUUUUUACAGAGGCACUCGACCGCAUCGUUCUUCAAAAGAUCCAUUUGACACAAAGGAAGUCAUCACUGUCUCGUUCCACGAUGACAAGGGGACUAGACUGCUAUCAAUUCAUGCUCAUGACGAUGGCACCUGGAAAGAGUAUUUCUCUCGCGCCGGAAGAAGCAAGUCGCAAUCGCGAUCCACAUUUCCUGCCACGGAGGACGUGACCAGCGGAGACAAUGGAGAAAAUCCGGGUUCAGCAUCUUAGAACAAGCCACAUCGAGUCUGCCAUUUCUCCGAGUAUUCGAUUGAUUUUGCCGUGAUUUCUAUACGUUCCCUGAUAGAUAGACAUGCCUUCUUCUAACUGCAUAGACCAGGUUAGCUGGCUGGCCCAUCUCCUGUUACCCAGUUUAGGCAAUGGCAUUUGUUGUUAAACCAGCUCGGGGGAAUCUGCCGUGGCUUUUGUCUCUAUUGUUAUCUCAAUUGUUGUGGAGAACAUACAAUGAUGAGGAAUUGCUUUUACGUCCAGCAUCUAACUUGAAAGCUAUAUCAAAAUCCUAGCGC
rnacentral:sRNA from 1 species